CCUACGGGAGGCAGCAGUAGGGAAUAUUGGGCAAUGGAGGCAACUCUGACCCAGCCAUGCCGCGUGCAGGAUGAAGGCGUUAUGCGUUGUAAACUGCUUUUAUAUAGGAAGAAAGAGUUCUUGCGAGAACAGUUGACGGUACUAUAUGAAUAAGCACCGGCUAACUCCGUGCCAGCAGCCGCGGUAAUACGGAGGGUGCAAGCGUUGUCCGGAUUUAUGGGUUUAAAGGGUGCGUAGGCGGUUUAUUAAGUCAGUGGUGAAAGACGGUCGCUCAACGAUUGCAGUGCCAUUGAUACUGGUAGACUUGAGUGAGAUUGAGGUAGCUGGAAUGGAUAGUGUAGCGGUGAAAUGCAUAGAUAUUAUCCAGAACACCAAUUGCGUAGGCAAGUUACUAAGUCUCAACUGACGCUGGAGCGACGAAGUAGUGGUAGUACAACAGAUAGUAUACCGUACGUAGUACACACUAGUAACGUAUAGUAUAACUAC
rnacentral:rRNA from 1 species